CAGGGAGGGGAACAUCACACACUGGGGCCUUUCGGGGGUUAGGGGGCAGCAUUAGGAGAAAUACUAAUAGAGGAGAAAUACCUAAUGUAGAUGAUGGGUUGAUGGGUGCAGCAAACCACCAUGGCACAUGUAUACUUAUGUAGCAAACCUGCAUGUUCUGCACAUGUACCCCUGAACUUAAAGUAUAAUAAAUAAUAAAUAAAAAUAUUUUUUAAAAAUAGCAGCCACUAAAAAAAAUACCAUUCAGGAUUAGACUGAAGACCUUACUCCAUUCCUCCCUAACUAACUACAGGACUGCUUUCUGGGGCUCUCGUAACAGGAAAGAAUCAUCUCUAUUCCUCAAUUCCACCAGGAAACAGAUGUCCAACCAGGAAUUCACCUAGAAGCAAGCGCUAGAGUCCUGAACUCCUUAAUGAGUAGAAGACCGGAAAAGUGAUUGAACACCUUGGGACUUUAUUUUGUCCAUCUGUAAUUGGCAAAAUGCACUCCAUGUCUACUUUGUAGCUCCUCUCCUCAGAGAGACAGUAAUCAAAGAAAAUGAAAUGUGAAGGAGAUGGCCGCAGAUCCUGUUAGUGAGUGGAGUACCCAAGAGAAAAUAAAUAGGCUCUCAAGUGCCAGGCUGAAUGUAUCAAGGGACAAGUGAAGUAUUACAGAGAGAAAUGAAGUAAAAGAGGAGCUGAGAUGUGUUAAGUCUCUGAAAUUGACAGAAAGAGACAGAAUAGUCUUAUUGGGGAACCUGUUGAAGAUCCAGAAGUUGAAAUAUAUGGUUAGAAAUUCCAAGGGCCAAAAAUGUGAUCAGAAGUCAAAUACAGGAAAGAAACUUAGAUGAUUGGAGACCCUGUUCAAAGAUUACCUCCUUUAUAACAGCCUUGAGGCCCCAGGAAGAGUGAGUUGCUGUUGCCUCAGUGCCCCCAGGCUCUGAAAGUGCCUCUUCCUGCCUGGACUACAGCACCCAGCCCACUGGUUGAUGAAUGCCUGAUCCCGCGCCUACUCCACCAGAAGAAAGACCACUUCAACAGCAGUGAGAAGAAGGAAUCGGAGGUGGGUGAGGCGAGAGUCAAAGAGAACAGCCAGAGGAUGUUUGCAGUUAUCCAGGUAACCAUGAUCAAAGUCCGCAGAGACAAGGGCCGGGGAAUCAGACAGAAGGAUCCACUUCUAGUGAUAUUUGAGAGAAAAUCGAUAGGCCAUGGUGACCACUUGGCUUGGGGUGAGGUAGAAAGGGAAAUUAGGUUUCUGGCUGCAGUGACUAAAUAACUGGUAACUGCCUUUAACAGAGACAUGGGUUGUUACAGAAUAAUGUCUAUAAAUUUGAGUGGAAAAGGUUGAGGUCAGACUCAACC
rnacentral:lncRNA from 13 species